rnacentral:rRNA from 1 species
CCCAUAUCAGGGGAUAGCCUCUCGAAAGAGAGAUUAACACCGCAUAACAUCAUUUACCGGCAUCGGUUAAUGAUCAAAUAUUUAUAGGAUAUGGAUGGGCUCGCGUGACAUUAGCUAGUUGGAGGGGUAACGGCCCACCAAGGCUACGAGGUCUAGGGGCUCUGAGAGGAGAAUCCCCCACACUGGUACUGAGACACGGACCAGACUCCUACGGGAGGCAGCAGUAAGGAAUAUUGGUCAAUGGAGGGAACUCUGAACCAGCCAUGCCGCGUGCAGGAUGACUGCCCUAUGGGUUGUAAACUGCUUUUGUCAGGGAAUAAACCUUUCUACGUGUAGGAAGCUGAAUGUACCUGAAGAAUAAGGAUCGGCUAACUCCGUGCCAGCGGCCGCGGUAAUACGGAGGAUCCAAGCGUUAUCCGGAUUUAUUGGGUUUAAAGGGUGCGUAGGCGGUCCUAUAAGUCAGUGGUGAAAGACGGCAGCUUAACUGUCGCAGUGCCUUUGAUACUGUAGGACUUGAAUCUAUUUGAAGUGGGCGGAAUAAGACAAGUAGCGGUGAAAUGCAUAGAUAUGUCUUAGAACUCCGAUUGCGAAGGCAGCUCACUAAGUUAGUAUUGACGCUGAUGCACGAAAGCGUGGGGAUCAAAC